UACGGAGGGCGCAAGCGUUGUUCGGAAUUACUGGGCGUAAAGCGCGUGUAGGCGGCCAGGUAAGUCGGAUGUGAAAGCCCGGGGCCCAACCCCGGAACUGCACCCGAUACUGCCUGGCUGGAGUCCCGGAGAGGAUGGCGGAAUUUCCGGUGUAGAGGUGAAAUUCGUAGAUAUCGGAAGGAACACCAGUGGCGAAGGCGGCCAUCUGGACGGUGACUGACGCUGAGACGCGAAAGCGUGGGGAGCAAACAGGAUUAGAUACCCUGGUAGUCCACGCCGUAAACGUUGGGUGCUAGACGUCGGGGGUAUUGACCCCUCCGGUGUCGAAGCUAACGCAUUAAGCACCCCGCCUGGGGAGUACGGCCGCAAGGCUAAA
rnacentral:rRNA from 1 species